AUCUGAGAUAACUCCUGUAAGUGCUGCAACGUGUAAACUGAGGAUUUUCCACCGCUCGGUUUGCACUAGGAGAUGGCUGAAAUCCCAUUUGAACUCCUGUUGGGCCAGAGGCUGUUUGGCUCAGGCAGCCUUGAGUGCCACGCAAAGGCAACUGGAGGGUCAUGGGUUGCUGAUCCCUGAUCUAGGAGAAUAGAUCACCUAAUUUUAC